rnacentral:rRNA from 1 species
CUCCUACGGGAGGCAGCAGUAGGGAAUUUUCCACAAUGGGCGCAAGCCUGAUGGAGCAACGCCGCGUGCAGGAUGAAGGCCUUCGGGUCGUAAACUGCUUUUAUCUGUGACGAUUUUGACGGCAGCAGAUGAAUAAGGAUCGGCUAACUCCUUGCCAGCAGCCGCGGUAAUAC